rnacentral:rRNA from 1 species
CGUAGGUGGCAAGCGUUGUCCGGAUUUAUUGGGUUUAAAGGGUGCGUAGGCGGCUAUCUAAGUCAGUGGUGAAAUAUCUCAGCUUAACUGAGAGGGUGCCAUUGAUACUGGAUAGCUUGAGUACAGAUGAGGUAGGCGGAAUUGACGGUGUAGCGGUGAAAUGCAUAGAUAUCGUCAAGAACACCGAUAGCGAAGGCAGCUUACCAAGCUGUAACUGACGCUGAGGCACGAAAGUGUGGGGAUCAAACAGGAUUAGAUACCCUGGUAGUCCACACUGUAAACGUUGAUGACUCGAUGUUGGCGAUACACAGCCAGCGUCCAAGAGCAAUCGUUAAGUCAUCCACCUGGGGAGUACGCCGGCAACGGUG